UACGGGGGGGGCAAGCGUUGUUCGGAAUUACUGGGCGUAAAGGGCUCGUAGGCGGCCAACUAAGUCGGAUGUGAAAUCCCCAGGCUCAACCUGGGAACUGCAUCCGAUACUGGAUGGCUUGAAUUCGGGAGAGGGAUGCAGAAUUCCAGGUGUAGCGGUGAAAUGCGUAGAUAUCGUAAGGAAGACCAGCGGCGAAGGCGAGUUCCUGGACAGUUACUAACGCUGAGGCACGAAGGCCAGGGGAGCAAACGGG
rnacentral:rRNA from 1 species